rnacentral:rRNA from 1 species
UAGGGAAUCUUCGGCAAUGGGGGCAACCCUGACCGAGCAACGCCGCGUGAGUGAAGAAGGUUUUCGGAUCGUAAAGCUCUGUUGUAAGUCAAGAACGAGUGUGAGAGUGGAAAGUUCACACUGUGACGGUAGCUUACCAGAAAGGGACGGCUAACUACGUGCCAGCAGCCGCGGUAAUACGUAGGUCCCGAGCGUUGUCCGGAUUUAUUGGGCGUAAAGCGAGCGCAGGCGGUUUGAUAAGUCUGAAGUUAAAGGCUGUGGCUCAACCAUAGUUCGCUUUGGAAACUGUCAAACUUGAGUGCAGAAGGGGAGAGUGGAAUUCCAUGUGUAGCGGUGAAAUGCGUAGAUAUAUGGAGGAACACCGGUGGCGAAAGCGGCUCUCUGGUCUGUAACUGACGCUGAGGCUCGAAAGCGUGGGGAGCGAACAGGAUUAGAUACCCUGGUAGUCCACGCUGUAAACGAUGAGUGCUAGGUGUUAGACCCUUUCCGGGGUUUAGUGCCGUAGCUAACGCAUUAAGCACUCCGCCUGGGGAGUACGACCGCAAGGUUG